UACGUAGGUGGCAGGCGUUGUCCGGAUUUAUUGGGUUUAAAGGGUGCGUAGGCGGUCUAUUAAGUCAGCGGUGAAAUACUCCAGCUUAACUGGAGGGGUGCCAUUGAUACUGAUGGACUUGAGUCAAGUCGAGGUAGGCGGAAUUGACGGUGUAGCGGUGAAAUGCUUAGAUAUCGUCAAGAACACCAAUAGUGAAGACAGCUUACUGGGCUUAAACUGACGCUGAGGCACGAAAGUGUGGGGAUCAAACAGG
rnacentral:rRNA from 1 species